rnacentral:lncRNA from 1 species
UAGUAUUCUGUGACAUAUUUUGUGGGAAUGAAGUGGUCAGUGAAGGAGAGAGGAGUUAUCUGGUGACUGGGAAGAUGGAAAUUAAACAUUGAGAACUCAGGUCUUCAUCAUGGGAAGAUCUAGAUUAUCAGAGAGCCUUGAUCAUUGAAGAAACAACAAAUGAUAAGUGUGGCUGUUAUGCAAAGAGAGAAGCAGGAAGGACCAGGUGUGUUCAGGGAGGCCAGCAUGGGUGUGACCUCAACAGAGGAUGCAGCAAGAAGGAUUCAUUUUGGAAGCAGAUAGCAGUCCUCACCAGAAAAUCCAAUCUGAUGGCAUCUUGAUCUUGACUUCCUACCCUCCAGAACUCUGAAAAAGCUGUAGAUCAUGGGAUUUAAUAAAGGAACUAUGACA